UACCAGCACCCCGAGUGGUCGGGACGUUUAUUGGGCCUAAAGCAUCCGUAGCCGGUUUCUGCAAGUCUUCCGUUUAAAUCCACCUGCUUUAACAGAUGGGCCGCGGAAGAUACUAUAGAGCUAGGAGGCGGGAGAGGCAAGCGGUACUCGAUGGGUAGGGGUAAAAUCCGUUGAUCCAUUGAAGACCACCAGUGGCGAAGGCGGCUUGCCAGAACGCGCUCGACGGUGAGGGAUGAAAGCUGGGGGAGCAAACCGG
rnacentral:rRNA from 1 species